CUGCAGCCAAUUAAGCCAACUGAGUUCGCUUCCUUUUGGAGGCCCCAGUGUGCAGUCACUGCAAACAGCAGCUUCCUUGGUAGUGUAUGCAGCCUGUUUGUUGUAUGGGUUGCUCUAAGGGACCUUGGAGACAGGC
ensembl:snoRNA SNORA70 Small nucleolar RNA SNORA70